ACGAACGCUGGCGGCGUGCUUAACACAUGCAAGUCGAACGGUAAGGCCCUUCGGGGUACACGAGUGGCGAACGGGUGAGUAACACGUGGGUGAUCUGCCCUGCACUUCGGGAUAAGCCCGGGAAACUGGGUCUAAUACCGGAUAGGACUGCGCGGUGCAUGCCGUGUGGUGGAAAGAUUUAUCGGUGCAGGAUGGGCCCGCGGCCUAUCAGCUUGUUGGUGGGGUAAUGGCCUACCAAGGCGACGACGGGUAGCCGGCCUGAGAGGGCGACCGGCCACACUGGGACUGAGACACGGCCCAGACUCCUACGGGAGGCAGCAGUGGGGAAUAUUGCACAAUGGGCGCAAGCCUGAUGCAGCGACGCCGCGUGAGGGAUGACGGCCUUCGGGUUGUAAACCUCUUUCAGCAGGGACGAAGCGUGAGUGACGGUACCUGCAGAAGAAGCACCGGCCAACUACGUGCCAGCAGCCGCGGUAAUACGUAGGGUGCAAGCGUUGUCCGGAAUUACUGGGCGUAAAGAGCUCGUAGGCGGUUUGUCGCGUCGUCUGUGAAAACCAGCAGCUCAACUGUUGGCUUGCAGGCGAUACGGGCAGACUUGAGUAUUUCAGGGGAGACUGGAAUUCCUGGUGUAGCGGUGAAAUGCGCA
rnacentral:rRNA from 1 species